CCUCUUGCCAUCGGAUGUGCCCAGAUGGGAUUAGCUAGUAGGUGGGGUAGCGGCUCACCUAGGCGACGAUCCCUAGCUGGUCUGAGAGGAUGACCAGCCACACUGGAACUGAGACACGGUCCAGACUCCUACGGGAGGCAGCAUG
rnacentral:rRNA from 1 species